UGCCCAGAUCUAAUCUCUUCCCAUCUUUAACUCUCUUCUGAAAUCUUAACUCCUCCAUUUAAGUUUUUUUCUCCCUAGGUCACAUCCUCUCAACAGUCUAGAGGAGGCACUUAAGCUCAACACACAGCUCCUCUCCCAUUUGGGUCUCGCCGCUGCCUAAGGGGAAGGGAGGGCAAGAUGGCCUGGGAGUCUGAAGGAUCUGGGUUCUAAUCCCAGCUCCGCCACUUGUCUGCUGUGUGACCUUGGGCAAGUCACGUCACUACUCUGUGCUUCGGUUACCUCAUCUGUCAAGGGGAUUAAGAGUGUGAGCCCCAUGUGGAACAAAGACUGUGUCCAACUUGACCACCUUGUAUCUCCCCCAGCUCUUAGUACCAGGCCUGGCUCGUAGUAAGUGCAUAACAGUUACCAUAAAAAAGUCAUCUCAACAUUUUUGCAUCAUCUCAAUAUUUAAUGCUCUCACAACUUCCCCUAGCACUUUUGUGCGUAAGCAUUUACAAACUCUACUAUUUGCCCAUUUCUUCCUCCUAUCUGUCAAUUAUUUUGUGUCUCUGUCCGCUAUUUAAAUUGUCAGCUCCUUGAGGGCAGGCAUGAUGUCUUCCACCUCUAUUGUAGCCUCCCAAGCACUCGAUACACUUCUCUGCACACAGGUGGUCAAGAAGUACGAUGGAGUGAAUAGCUGGAUGCUUGAAUGGGAACCUUGGGGAAGGGUCUCAUGCCACUAAUUUAUUUCCUUUGGCUAGACCCUGCUGCCUUCCCCGAUGCCCUACACCUUCAGUGGAGUCACCGAACCACAAUUUACAAUCUGCUGAGGAAGAGCUGGGUCUGUUAUUCUCGGGGAGCCUUGAGCUCGCACCCAGAAGCCUGGAACCUAGUAAGGGCUUAGUGCAGUGUUCUGCACCCACUAAGCCCUCAAUAAAUACUGUCGAUUGAUUGCUCGACAGUACCGGUUGGAGUCCUCAAUAGGUAAGAUCUGUUCGCAAACAUGAAGUAAGGAUGGCUUAUUGGAUCUUAGUUGGAUCACUAAAGCACUCACUCUAGUGAUCAGGCAGGACUCCAGACAAGCUCAGAUAGCCCCCAUAAUCCUCGAAGCCUCCGCCCGGGACACAGGAAUUCCUUGCCCCUGCAUCGGCGAAUGAUUAAACGAGCCGGAAUAUAGGGUUGUCUCUUUCAAGAUUGCCGUGAUUGAUGGUCUAUACCCACUUUUUUUAAUCGCCUCAUGUUCAACUGAAGUCUCUCCUGCCGUAGUUACCUACAUUUGAAU
rnacentral:lncRNA from 1 species